UACGAAAGGUCCAAGCGUUAAUCGGAAUUACUGGGCGUAAAGCGUGCGCAGGCGGUGAUGUAAGACAGAUGUGAAAUCCCCGGGCUCAACCUGGGAAUUGCAUUUGUGACUGCACGGCUAGAGUGUGUCAGAGGGGGGUAGAAUUCCACGUGUAGCAGUGAAAUGCGUAGAGAUGUGGAGGAAUACCGAUGGCGAAGGCAGCCCCCUGGGAUAACACUGACGCUCAUGCACGAAAGCGUGGGGAGCAAACAGG
rnacentral:rRNA from 1 species